UUUAACAUGCAGUCGAACGGGCUUGGGGGCUUGCUCCCGGGUUAGUGGCGAACGGGUGAGUAAUAUAUCGGAACAUAUCCGGAAGUGGGGGAUAACGUAGCGAAAGUUACGCUAAUACCGCAUAUGCCCUGAGGGGGAAAGGGGGGGAUCGCAAGACCUCUCGCUUUCGGAGUGGCCGAUACCGAAUUAGCUAGAUGGUGAGGUAAAGGCUCACCAUGGCGACGAUCCGUAGCGGGUCUGAGAGGACGACCCGCCACACUGGAACUGAGACACGGUCCAGACUCCUACGGGAGGCAGCAGUGGGGAAUUUUGGACAAUGGGCGCAAGCCUGAUCCAGCCAUACCGCGUGAGUGAAGAAGGCCUUCGGGUUGUAAAGCUCUUUCAGCCGGAAAGAAAUUGCUUCUAUUAAUACUAGGGGUAGAUGACGGUACCGGAAGAAGAAGCACCGGCUAACUACGUGCCAGCAGCCGCGGUAAUACGUAGGGUGCGAGCGUUAAUCGGAAUUACUGGGCGCAAAGCGUGCGCAGGCGGUUUGGUAAGACAGAUGUGAAAUCCCCGGGCUUAACCUGGGAACUGCGUUUGUGACUGCAAGGCUAGAGUAUGGCAGAGGGGGGUAGAAUUCCACGUGUAGCAGUGAAAUGCGUAGAGAUGUGGAGGAAUACCGAUGGCGAAGGCAGCCCCCUGGGUUAACACUGACGCUCAGGCACGAAAGCGUGGGUAGCAAACAGGAUUAGAUACCCUGGUAGUCCACGCCCUAAACGAUGUCAACUAGUUGUUGGGGAGGGAGACCUCCUUGGUAACGCAGCUCACGCGUGAAGUUGACCGCCUGGGGAGUACGGUCGCAAGAUUAAAACUCAAAGGAAUUGACGGGGGCCCGCACAAGCGGUGGAUUAUGUGGAUUAAUUCGAUGCAACGCGAAAACCUUACCUACCCUUGACAUGUACGGAAGACUGCAGAGAUGUG
rnacentral:rRNA from 1 species